UAAACACUGAUUCCCAUACAAUCCCUGAAGUUAAGCAAUAUCAAGCCUGGUCAAUACUUAGAUGGGUGACCACUUGGGAAUACCAGGUGCUGUAAG